AGUGAACGCUGGCGGUAGGCCUAACACAUGCAAGUCGAACGGCAGCACAGUAAGAGCUUGCUCUUACGGGUGGCGAGUGGCGGACGGGUGAGGAAUACAUCGGAAUCUACUUUUUCGUGGGGGAUAACGUAGGGAAACUUACGCUAAUACCGCAUACGACCUACGGGUGAAAGCAGGGGAUCUUCGGACCUUGCGCGAUUGAAUGAGCCGAUGUCGGAUUAGCUAGUUGGCGGGGUAAAGGCCCACCAAGGCGACGAUCCGUAGCUGGUCUGAGAGGGUGAUCAGCCACACUGGAGCUGAGACACGGUCCAGACUCCUACGGGAGGCAGCAGUGGGGAAUAUUGGACAAUGGGCGCAAGCCUGAUCCAGCCAUACCGCGUGGGUGAAGAAGGCCUUCGGGUUGUAAAGCCCUUUUGUUGGGAAAGAAAAGCAGCAGGUUAAUACCCCGCUGUUCUGACGGUACCCAAAGAAUAAGCACCGGCUAACUUCGUG
rnacentral:rRNA from 1 species